AGACCUUUGCAAAUUGCUUUGUUCAACUUAUUUCUAUAUAUCAUGUAUUCGUCAACUUCACCUGUCAAGCCAGACUCUCCGCCUUUUCUUCUGCGGAGAGAUAAUUGAAGCCUCUGCACACAUUCCUUCAUAUCUGAGAAAAAGUCUCUUGUGGAGUCGCACAAAUCCAAGAGCUUCAGAGAUCCAUUCAAUGCAUUUUCUACGCACUGGCUUUGCCUCUCAUGGGAGCGAGACUGUUGGGCCAGUGGCAGUUGUAGCAAAUCAUCAACACACUCGUACAAAUUCUUUAGGCCACUCAAUUUGUGGCCUAUUGAGGAGGACUGUGAUGCCUUCAACUUGUACUGAUGCUCCUCAAUAGUUGCAGUUAGAGGAUGAGAUCCAUAUGGUGCAGAAGCCCGUGAACUUCAAUAAAAAAAUUUACACCCACAAGAGGCAUGCAGCUUAUUUCCCAGACGGACAACAAGAAGUCCAUAAUUGUUCUUUUUUAAAAUAUUUUCUUCACACCACAUUGAUAAUGAGAUUUGAACAACGCCUGGUGUCUCGAAGCAAGUAGAAUCUUGACAGUUUUGGUGUCAUCCAAAUUAGACGCGGUCCAUCCAUGAUGUAAAUAAAUACAUUAAUAAUUCAAUCAUGCAGGAGGUGAUGAGAAUCUGGUUGACCAAAAGUGAAGCAUGAUCUACCUAUAUGGCUGCAGAUCUAUUUAACUGAUUUUUUUAUUAUAAUCUGAAACAAACAAGGAGAGAAAGAUGAAAAGGACUGUUUCUAGUAAAGUAGCACUGUCAUAAAAGGAACAAAAUUGGAUGAUACAAAAUUGUGUUCAAGGGUUGAUGGAGGUAACACCCACUAAUGAAUCAGAAUAUUGAGAAGGGUGACUCUGGUUUUCACCAAUCUUCUAUAAACAUUGGCUAAUUCCUCCCCUGCUUCUUGAAGACUAGACCCCAGUGCCUUCAAUUCUUUCAAAACAUUUUGUGCCUGAUCGAUGUCUUUGCUUGACUUCAAGACCAGCGAUGCACCAUCAAUCCUCUCCGCUUCAUUGGCUUCAAUUUCCCCAUUCUUGGUUUGCAAUAAUUUUGGGACAAUAGACCAGCCACAGAGCUUUGUUUUUCCCUUUGUCUGGGACUCAAACACAGCAAGACUAAUUUCCUCGGCACCUUUUAGCAUGUUAAUCAUGUCAACCAAACCGAAGUUGUCUUCCAAGCUUGCUGUUCUGCAGUUCUUCUCCCGUCUCUUCAAAUUUCUUAGAUGCUUGCAUAUCGCUUUAGUCAAUCUUUUUCUAGAUGCCGUGUAUACAUCAAACUUCUUUCAAGCCAGAUUCUCCAGCUCUUUUUCUUCGGAUAGAUGAUUCAAGACCCUGUACACAUGCCCUCAUCUGUGACAAAAAAUCUCGUGGUGCUGCACACAUCCAACAAUCCUAAAAAUACAUUCAGUGCCUCGUCUACAGAUUGGUUUUGCCUCUCAUGGCAGAAAGUUUGUUGGGUAAAUGGCAGUUGAAGACAAUCAUCAAUGCAAUCAUACAAUUCUUUCAGAACAGCCAAUUUGUGGCCUAUGGAUGAGGACUGUGAUGUCUUCAACUUGUACAGCUGCUCUUCGAUGCUUACAGUUAGAGGAUGAGAUCUAGAGGGCAAACUGAUUGAACGGAGAUGAAAAGCAGCCAUUUCUCUUUUCAGCAGGAGAAAUCCUGUCAAGAAUAUGAAUAUGCAAGUGGUCUUGCUGUUCAAGCCAACUUAUUGAACCUUUUAUAAAUGAUCCAAUUGAACAAAAACAAUUCCUUGUUUCUAAAUCUAUAUUA
rnacentral:misc_RNA from 1 species